rnacentral:rRNA from 1 species
GACGAACGCUGGCGGCGUGCUUAACACAUGCAAGUCGAACGAUGAAGCCGGAGCUUGCUCUGGUGAAUUAGUGGCGAACGGGUGAGUAACACGUGAGUAACCUGCCCUUGACUCUGGGAUAACUGCGGGAAACUGUAGCUAAUACCGGAUACGACCCUCGGAGGCAUCUCCUGGGGGUGGAAAGAAUUUCGGUCAAGGAUGGACUCGCGGCCUAUCAGCUAGUUGGUGAGGUAAAGGCUCACCAAGGCGACGACGGGUAGCCGGCCUGAGAGGGGGACCGGCCACACUGGGACUGCGACACGGCCCAGACUCCGACGGGAGGCAGCAGUGGGGAAUAUUGCGCAAUGGGCGCAAGCCUGAUGCAGCAACGCCGCGUGAGGGAUGACGGCCUUCGGGUUGUAAACCUCUUUUAGUAGGGAAGAAGCGAAAGUGACGGUACCUGCAGAAAAAGCACCGGCUAACUACGUGCCAGCCGCCGCCGUAA